UACGAAGGGGGCUAGCGUUGUUCGGAAUUACUGGGCGUAAAGGGCGCGUAGGCGGUCCUGAUCGUCGGAUGUGAAAGGCCUGGGCUCAACCUGGGAACUGCAUCCGAUACGGCGGGACUGGAGUGUGGGAGAGGUUGGUGGAAUUCCCAGUGUAGAGGUGAAAUUCGUAGAUAUUGGGAAGAACACCUGAGGCGAAGGCGGGUUGCUGGGCCGACACUGACGCUGAGGCGCGAAAGCCAGGGGAGCAAACGGG
rnacentral:rRNA from 1 species